AUUGAACGCUGGCGGCAGGCCUAACACAUGCAAGUCGAACGGUAACAGAAAGCAGCUUGCUGCUUUGCUGACGAGUGGCGGACGGGUGAGUAAUGUCUGGGAAACUGCCUGAUGGAGGGGGAUAACUACUGGAAACGGUAGCUAAUACCGCAUAACGUCGCAAGACCAAAGAGGGGGACCUUCGGGCCUCUUGCCAUCGGAUGUUCCCAGAUGGGAUUAGCUAGUAGGUGGGGUAACGGCUCACCUAGGCGACAAUCCCUAGCUGGUCUGAGAGGAUGACCAGCCACACUGGAACUGAGACACGGUCCAGACUCCUACGGGAGGCAGCAGUGGGGAAUAUUGCACAAUGGGCGCAAGCCUGAUGCAGCCAUGCCGCGUGUAUGAAGAAGGCCUUCGGGUUGUAAAGUACUUUCAGCGGGGAGGAAGGGAGUAAAGUUAAUACCUUUGCUCAUUGACGUUACCCGCAGAAGAAGCACCGGCUAACUCCGUG
rnacentral:rRNA from 1 species